AAUGAACGCUGGCGGCGUGCCUAAUACAUGCAAGUCGAGCGGACGCGCGGGGGCAUUCCUGCUCUCGAGCUACGGACGGGUGGGGAAUUCGUCCGUAUCUGCCCUUCUUUUGGGACUAACGUAAGGAAGCUUACCCUAAUACCACAUACGUUCUACGUUUGAAACUGGGGGUUCGCAAGGCCUCACGCAUAUAGCUGAGCCGGCGAGCGAUUACCUAGUUGGUGUGGUAAAGGCACACCAAGGCGACGAUCGAUAGCUGCUCUGAGAGGCUGAUCAGCCACACUGGGACUGAGACACGGCCCAGACUCCUACGGGAGGCAGCAGUGGGGAAUAUUGGACAAUGGGCGAAAGCCUGAUGCAGCCAUGCCGCGUGUGUGAAGAAGGCCUUCGGGUUGUAAAGCACUUUUGUUCGGAAAGAAAACACGGGAGAUAAUACCUUCGGGGGAUGACGGUACCUGAAGAGAAAGCCCCGGCUAACUACGUG
rnacentral:rRNA from 1 species